rnacentral:tRNA from 1 species
GCCGGUGUGGUGGAACUGGCAGACGCGCCGGACUCAAAAUCCGGUUGGGGCAACCCAGUGGGAGUUCGAUUCUCCCCACCGGCACCA